rnacentral:rRNA from 1 species
AGAAUCAACGCUGGCGGCGUGCCCAACACAUGCAAGUCGCACGAGAAAGCGGGAGCAAUCCUGUGAGUAAAGUGGCGUACGGGUGAGUAACACGUGAAUCAUCUACCUUCGAGUGUGGAAUAACUGAGAGAAAUCUUAGCUAAUACCGCAUAAUACCUACGGGUCAAAGCAGCAAUGCGCUUGAAGAGGAGUUCGCGGCAGAUUAGUUAGUUGGCGGGGUAAUGGCCCACCAAGACGAUGAUCGGUA